rnacentral:rRNA from 1 species
CAACUUUCAGCAAUGGAUCUCUUGGCUUCCGCAUCGAUGAAGAACGCAGCGAAUUGCGAAAUGUAAUGUGAAUUGCAGAAUUCCAGUGAAUCAUCGAGUCUUUGAACGCACCUUGCGCCUUGGGGUUUUCCUCAAGGCACGUUUGUUGGAGUGUCUCGU